CAGUAGCCGCGGUAAUACGAAGGGUGCAAGCGUUAAUCGGAAUUACUGGGCGUAAAGCGUGCGUAGGUGGUGGUUUAAGUCCGUUGUGAAAGCCCUGGGCUCAACCUGGGAAUUGCAGUGGAUACUGGGUCACUAGAGUGUGGUAGAGGAUAGUGGAAUUUCCGGUGUAGCAGUGAAAUACGUAGAGAUCGGGAGGAACAUCAGCGGCGAAGGCGGCCAUCUGGGACAACACUGACGCUGAGGCACGAAAGCGUGGGGAGCAAACAGGAUUAGAUACCCCUGUAGUCCCUGUCUCUUAUAC
rnacentral:rRNA from 1 species